UACGGGGGGGGCAAGCGUUGUUCGGAAUUACUGGGCGUAAAGGGCUCGUAGGUGGCCAACUAAGUCAUACGUGAAAUCCCUCAGCUUAACUGGGGAACUGCGCCUGAUACUGGUUGGCUUGAGUUUGGGAGAGGGAUGCGGAAUUCCAGGUGUAGCGGUGAAAUGCGUAGAUAUCUGGAGGAACACCGGUGGCGAAGGCGGCAUCCUGGACCAACACUGACACUGAGGAGCGAAAGCCAGGGGAGCAAACGGG
rnacentral:rRNA from 1 species